GUGAACGGUCAAGGAGAGUCAGGAGCAGGGGGAGGAGACCAAGGCACGAGCUGGAGAAGGAACAGGGGAUGAUGGGCUUGUGACAUCUUCUCUCAAAGGGAACAGUGACCGGUACACCUGAAACCUUGGUCAAAUCUUUGAGCACCUGCCAAUCUCAAUGACAAAAAUUAAGUAGCAAAACCUACCUUCUGAUCCUGAGACGAUUCGAUGAUGCAGUCAUGGAGCGUGGACAGUGGAAGACCCACUCAUGUUCCUGUUUGGAGGAAACCCAAAGAAAGCUGUACUGUUGCUACAGCUAUAAGACGUAGAUUGGCUUCUCGAUGGCAUUUUGUUGCUGGUUUUUUGUUUGUUGUUUUUUCAGAGAGAAUCCACUAAUUCCAUCUUAUGCCUAUGCGUGAUUGGGCAUUCGUAUGAUUUAUCUUCCUACUUUUGCAAAUCUAUGUGAGUCCUUGGUUUUAAUUCUUUAGAUAAGAGGCUGAGGACCUGGGAAACCCUGUCCUUCUUAAAGAUAGAAUUAUAAGUGUAUGUAGCUCAAAACACACUAUUAAAAAUGUUUUCUUUCUGUUCUUGGACUUUG